GAUGAACGCUGGCGGCGUGCCUAAUACAUGCAAGUCGAGCGAAUGGAUUAAGAGCUUGCUCUUAUGAAGUUAGCGGCGGACGGGUGAGUAACACGUGUGUAACCUGCACAUAAGACUGGGAUAACUCAGGGAAACCGGGGCUAAUACCGGAUAACAUUUUGAACCGCAGGGUUCGAAAUUGAAAGGCGGCUUAGGCUGUCACUAAUGGAUGGACCCGCGUCGCAUUAGCUAGUUCGUGAGGUAACGGCUCACCAAGGCAACGAUGCGUAGACGACCUGAGAGGGUGAUCGGCCACACUGGGACUGAGACACGACCCAGACUCCUACGGGAGGCAGCAGUAGGGAAUCUUCCGCAAUGGACGAAGGUCUGACGGAGCAACGCCGCGUGAGUGAUGAAGGCUUUCGGGUCGUAAAACUCUGUUGUUAGGGAAGAACAAGUGCUAGUUGAAUAAGCUGGCACCUUGACGGUACCUAACCAGAAAGCCACGGCUAACUACGUGCCAGCCGCCGCCGUAA
rnacentral:rRNA from 1 species